UCUAUAAGCCGCUUAAAAAUUACCCUCUAACCGAAGAGUGUUAGAUAGCGUCGAAGGACAAGAAGACCCUAUAGAGCUUAAUUUAAAUAAAUAUAAAAAAUUUACUAAAAUUCGGUUGGGGCGACCAGGGAAUUACCCAUCAUCCCUAAGCAAAAGAUAAAUAUAUCAAAAUACUGACCCUUCUACAAGAUCAUUAAAACAAGCUACCUUAGGGAUAACAGGCUAAUCUCACUAGAGAGUCCUUAUCAAUAGUGGGGAUUGGCACCUCGAUGUUGGCUUAGGGAAUCUCUAUAACGCAAAAGUUAUAUAAAGAUGGUUUGUUCAACCAAUAACACCCUACAUGAGCUGAGUUCAGACCGGCGUAAGCCAGGUUAGUUUCUAUCCUCGAUCACUCUAUCUAUUUAUAGUACGAAAGGACCUAAUUAGAGUAAUAUUUACAUACAGGGAAUAAAUAUAAACCAUUCUAAAUAAAAUAAAUCAUAAUCUAUGAGUAAGUUGGCAGAACAGUGCCACC
rnacentral:rRNA from 1 species